CUUAAGGAACAUGGUCGUGACAAAAAUGAUACUCUCCGAAGAAAUGCUUCAAACAUAAAGGCUUUCGGCACCGAGCACAGGUAAUAAUAGCCACAUCACCACAUACGUGACAUCGUGGUUCAUUAUUUUAUAUACGUACUCUGGCUCAUUGUUAUACGAUAAAUCACGUGGUCGUAGCGCGAUUGGUGAGAGUUCCAUAUAUAAAUAACAAAAAUUUAUAAGACUAUACGAGCGAAGGUCACAAAGGUUAUAAGAUAUUUUUAUCUUUAAAGUAAAUGUUUUAUAAACAAUCGCUUUACUAUUCCAUUCGUUGAGUGGAUACUGUAGUGGACAUAUGGGAAAAGCUACAUCAGAUAAUAAACAAUUAGAAGUAUUGACUAUCAAUCUGAAAAUGAACCACAUAUGGUUAUUAUUACUUGUGCUCGGUGCCGAAAGCCUUUAUGUUUGAAGCAUUUCUUCGAAGAGUAUCAUUUUUGUCACGACUAUGUUCCUUAAGUUAUUCAAAUUCCUUGUUGCAUAUUUAAAUUAUCAAUUUCAUACAUCCACCCUGGAGUAUGUAUAGCUUUAAUUAUUUUAUAUCAUGCGAUACAAAACAAAAUUAACCAUUGUAUGUUAUAAAAAUAGUUGUUUUCCACUUAUGCGGGUAAAUAACAUCGGUGUAUAACGUCAGAUACGAUUAAAGUAUCACGCGCUGACUCAGCGAGCGUACGCGCAAUUACAUAAAUUUAAAUGAGUUUUAAAAUAAUGUUAUAAACAUUUUUUUUGUUAUAAACAAAUUGUAUUUUUGACAAUCUGUCAACACCAUGUUAUUGUAUAUAAAAAACCAUUAAAUCUGCCCAUUAGAAGUUUUCACGUAUCUCUUUUGGUUUUCAAAAUAACAGUUUCAGGUCCAAACUUUGAGGGGUGGUUUCACCCCUUAAAGUCGCGUCUCAGCAGAUAUAAAAAAAUACGUGUCCCUUAUUUUUAUCUGUUUAACAAAUGUACGAAGUUUCAUCAAAAUCGGAGGGGGACACUUCCGUGCCUUUCCUUGUUAGAAUUUUUGGUGAACUUGUAGAAAAGCUAUUUCCCUACCGAUUUCGAUGAUUUUUAAAUAUAUUGUAAAAUUCAUCAUUUUAAGCAACCUUUUUCUUCUAUAAGCUACAUGUCGGACUAGAUUAGUUUACAAGAUAUUCGCGAAAAACUAUGAGUGCUACUACAUUGAAUUUCGUCUGUACGUAUACGUUCGCGGCUGUAUGUGCGUCGUCAAGAGAAUCUUAUCUACUGUUUCUGUCAACAGCACCACAUGUCCCGGCUACCGCCCAUAUAACGGGUCAGCUUAAAAUCAAAGUUAACUACUAAUUGCAAUAAUUUUGACAUUGGACUUGCGAGGCCGGCCGCCCAAAGGCGGCUGAAAUAUUAAUAUAACCGUUAAUUAUCGAUAUCUCGUCAACACUACCGAUUUGGCUCGUUUUUUACUAUAUUGUUGGGAUGAUAAUUCUGAGCAACUUUUUCCUGUACAUAUAACCACCGCUCGGCUUUAGUUUUCGAGAUAUUUGCAAAAGAAAGUUGCUACUGUUUAGUGAAUUCUGCGUGUACCUACAUAUCCGUGGCAGUGUAUGCGUCAGUAUGGGAUAGCUGGUUUCUGUAAACACAGCAUGGUCAAGCCCGUCAAGCAGUAUACAUAACAGGUUCGCUCCCCAUUGCGUCUCUGGCUAGUCGACACGUCGACAUUUGGCGACCAAGACGAUUAUUCUAGUCGAAAGUUUUUCAUUGAUAUCUCGGAAACUAAUAGGCCGAUGAAGAUAUCCUUUUAUAUUUGGGAUUCUGUAUCCCCUCCCCGCCCCCAAAUUCCGUAUCGAUCGACAAUCAAGGACGCAUCCGGAAGGGGGCAGACCCACCCUGGACUCUACCCGGCCACGCCAAUGGAUAAAAUGGUCAACGAUUGUAUACACGGACCUGACAACUCACGUGGGGCGGGUUAUAGCAUACUACAAUAGCAGCGCUGUAUGGCUGACGGAAGAUUCACGAAACUUCUGGGCUUCGACACUGGCUUUUAGUAAGGAAAUAACUUCCACCAUUCAAGAGUUUCUAGACCUCUGUAUACGACUGUGCUCAAACCCUAAACAUAAUCCUAUCCUAACAUGACCCAAACCUAAUCCGAGUCUAAUAUAAUUUAAUCUUAACCUAACCUGAAUCUAACACUGAAGUUUACUAUACCCCCCCAAGCUUUUAGCACUUGUCGUAUGUCAUUCAACUCUUUUGGAUGUGCUGAAUACGAAUAUAAUUGUCCUUUUACGUAAAUUACAAGUUUUCGAGAUAUACGCAAAAAAUUUUCUUACUAAUAUAUACAAUAUUACUCAUCCGUGUAUGUACAUCUGUGACAGUCACAAGCAUAGUAGAAAGUGGAAAUUACGCCACUAUAUACAAACCAAAGAUAACACUUUUCGUUAGAUUCGUUUACAUGUUGUAUCCGACCACUGCACCAAAGGUCAUGAACAGUGAGGAUUCUGUACGUAUGAUCAUUUUUCGUUAUCUGAGCAUUCAAACGAAUUUCGGUUAGAUUAGGAUAGGUCUUGCUGGAAGGGGAUGCAGUUACGUGUUCAGUUACUUAUAAAAAUUGAAAUCAUUUGAUCCUACUUACCAAAAAUGCAAUAAAGCGCUACAGGGUAAAUGCCAACUGAAUACACUUUAUUAGAUCUUCAAAUGGGUCUACAUUUCGUUUUCUCGAAAAGUCACGUAAGAAAAAGUAACAAUGAAGGACAUACUGAAGAUAGUCAAGUGGGCACUUGAAAGGAACGUAUGUAUCUGUAAUACAAGAGGUCAGUCAUGCUUGUGACUGUGUCACAGAUGCACACGCUUGGAUAAAAUUCUAUGUAUUAGUAAGAAACUUUUUGCAAAUAUCUCGGAAACUUGUAAUUUUCGCCAAAAACGUCUAUCAUAUUCAUAUUCAGCACGUCAAAACGAGUAGAAUGACGUCUGACUGGUACAAAAAAGGAGAGGGGCGGGGGGAGGGGGGUUAAAAUAAAAUCGUACCAAAAAUUUUACCUAACCUAUUCCUAAUCUAAACUCCUAACUUUGAUCUUCGUCUAACCCAGGAGUGGCCCGCGGGCUGCAUGCGGCCCGCCGAGAGUCAUGUUGCGACCCGCGGAGCUAGGUCAAAUGAACACAAAUAACUUUAUCGUACAUAUCACCUAAAGAAUAUUACAUCAUGAGCGACGAUGUGGUCGAAGCUGUAGCACGCUUGCUUGUUUACUUUAACUAACAAAAAAAAAUUAGGUGCGUGGCCCGGCAGGAAAUAUUAUAUCUGAAAUUUGACCCGCCUGCUGAAAAGGUUGGCCAUCCCUGGUCUAACCUAACCCUAAUUUACUAUUAUAUUUCAUUUAUAUAUGCAUAAGAUGGAAAACCUAACGUGCCUAACCUAAUUGAACCCAAUGUAAUAUAUUUAGUGAUAAACUGAUCCCCAUGCACCAUUUUCCAUACGUAAUUCAACUCCAAAUAUUUGAUUUCCCCGAUUUUUGUUCCAAUAACCUAUUCAUGUUUUAUAUAUUCAACAAUAAAUUAAAAAAAGAAUAAUAAAUUAUGAACAUCACCCCAUAAAAUAAUAUUGUCUUUGAGUUUCGUACAAACUUCUUACUUCUUUAAGCUCCUAGUUCAAUAGCAUUGACUUUCCAAAUUAUCAGGUCAAUGUUUCACGGCCUACAGAAGGUUGUUUAUCAUUAAACUGUCAUGAGGCGAGAGUGAAAUCAUUCCUGAAUGAUAAAUCAAAUAUACAACGUACCGAUUGUCAAUUAAACACUUGGAGUAAAGAUUCAAUAAAAUUCUUAUGUUUAAUCGAUUCGAUGACCUCAGUCGCAUGUUAAUUAUAUAUUGAAAUAAAUUUUAU